rnacentral:rRNA from 1 species
UACGAAGGGGGCUAGCGUUGCUCGGAAUCACUGGGCGUAAAGGGUGCGUAGGCGGAUAGUUUAGUCAGAGGUGAAAGCCCAGGGCUCAACCUUGGAAUUGCCUUUGAUACUGGCUAUCUUGAGUACGGAAGAGGUAUGUGGAACUCCGAGUGUAGAGGUGAAAUUCGUAGAUAUUCGGAAGAACACCAGUGGCGAAGGCGACAUACUGGUCCGUUACUGACGCUGAGGCUCGAAAGCGUGGGGAGCAAACAGG